rnacentral:rRNA from 1 species
AUUGAACGCUGGCGGCAUGCUUUACACAUGCAAGUCGAACGGUAACAGGUUAAGCUGACGAGUGGCGAACGGGUGAGUAAUGCAUCGGAACGUGCCCGGUCGUGGGGGAUAACGCAGCGAAAGCUGCGCUAAUACCGCAUACGAUCUGAGGAUGAAAGCGGGGGACCGUAAGGCCUCGCGCGAUCGGAGCGGCCGAUGUCAGAUUAGGUAGUUGGUGGGGUAAAGGCUCACCAAGCCAACGAUCUGUAGCUGGUCUGAGAGGACGACCAGCCACACUGGGACUGAGACACGGCCCAGACUCCUACGGGAGUCAGCAGUGGGGAAUUUUGGACAAUGGGCGAAAGCCUGAUCCAGCAAUGCCGCGUGCAGGAAGAAGGCCUUCGGGUUGUAAACUGCUUUUGUACGGAGCGAAAAGGUCUCCUCUAAUACAGGGGGCUCAUGACGGUACCGUAAGAAUAAGCACCGGCUAACUACGUGCCAGCAGCCGCCGUAA